AGGGUAAGCGCACAGCUGGAUUUGUGCGUCCAAGCAGUGAGGCUGGAUGUGAGGCAAAUCCUUGCAUCCUUAAGGCUGAGCUGUGAUGGCGAGGGAAAUUAGAGUACCGAAGUUCCCGAUUCCACACUGCCGAGAAAAGCUUCUAGCGUUAGGUGAGAGGUGCCCGUACCGCAAACCGACACAGGUAGUCGAGGCGAGUAGCCUCAGGUGAGCGAGAGAACUCUCGUUAAGGAACUCGGCAAAAUGGCCCCGUAACUUCGGGAGAAGGGGCGCUGACUGAUGGUCAGCCGCAGUGAAUAGGCCCAAGCAACUGUUUAUCAAAAACACAGCUCUCUGCUAAAUCGUAAGAUGAUGUAUAGGGGGUGACGCCUGCCCGGUGCUGGAAGGUUAAGAGGAGUGCUUAGCGUAAGCGAAGGCAUGAAUUGAAGCCCCAGUAAACGGCGGCC
rnacentral:rRNA from 1 species